CAGCAGCCGCGGUAAUACGGGGGGAGCAAGCGUUGUUCGGAUUUACUGGGCGUAAAGGGCGCGUAGGCGGCCGAGCAAGUCGGACGUGAAAUCCCCCGGCUCAACUGGGGAACUGCAUCCGAAACUGCACGGCUUGAGUCCUGGAGAGGGUUGUGGAAUUCCAGGUGUAGCGGUGAAAUGCGUAGAUAUCUGGAGGAACACCGGUGGCGAAGGCGACAUCCUGGACCGGUAUUGACGCUGAGGCGCGAAAGCCAGGGGAGCAAACGGGAUUAGAUACCCCGGUAGUCCUGGCCCUAAACGAUGAAUGCUUGGUGUGGCGGGUAUCGAUCCCUGCCGUGCCGAAGCUAACGCAUUAAGCAUUCCGCCUGGGGAGUACGGCCGCAAGGUUGAAACUCAAAGGAAUUGACGG
rnacentral:rRNA from 1 species